GUCUGGGUGGCUCAGUCGGUUGAGCAUCUGACUUAGGCUCAGAUCAUGAUCUCACAGCUCGUGGGUUUGAGCCCUAUGUCAGGCU
rnacentral:tRNA from 1 species